UUUCGCCCUGUUUUAAAAAAACAUGUCUUAAUGAUUAUUUUUAUAUUAAGUCUGGCCUGCUCAAUGAUUGAAUAAUAAAUUAAAUAGCCGCAGUAUUUUAACUGUGCGAAGGUAGCAUAAUCAUUUGUCUUUUAAUUGGAGGCUUGAAUGAAUGGUUGAAUGAGGGAAUAACUUUCUUUAUAUUAAUAGUUGAAUUUAAUAUUUGAGUUAAAAAGCUUAAAUAAUUAAAUGGGACGAGAAGACCCUAUAGAAUUUUAUUUUAUUAGAUAUAAUUUAAUUUAUGGUAUUCAAUUAUUUUUAUUUUUUUUAAAAUUUUGUUGGGGUGACAUUGAGAUUUUUGAAACUCUCAUAUUUAAUAAUUUACAUAUUAGUAUUUUAAGGAUCCUAUUUUAAGGAUAGUUAGAUUAAAUUACCUUAGGGAUAACAGCGUAAUUUUUCUGGAGAGUUCUUAUCGAUAGAGAAGUUUGCGACCUCGAUGUUGGAUUAAAAUUAGAUUUUAGUGCAGAAGCUAAAUUUCUAGGUCUGUUCGACCUUUAAAGUUUUACAUGAUCUGAUUUUCAACCCGG
rnacentral:rRNA from 1 species